rnacentral:rRNA from 1 species
UUAAAUUGAAGAGUUUGAUCAUGGCUCAGAUUGAACGCUGGCGGCAGGCCUAACACAUGCAAGUCGAGCGGAAACGAGUUAUCAGAACCUUCGGGGAACGAUAGCGGCGUCGAGCGGCGGACGGGUGAGUAAUGCCUAGGAAAUUGCCCUGA